rnacentral:rRNA from 1 species
UACGUAGGGUGUAAGCGUUGUCCGGAAUUAUUGGGCGUAAAGAGCUUGUAGGCGGUUUGUCGCGUCUGCUGUGAAAUUUCGGGGCUCAACCCCGAACUUGCAGUGGGUACGGGCAGACUAGAGUGUGGUAGGGGAGACUGGAAUUCCUGGUGUAGCGGUGAAAUGCGCAGAUAUCAGGAGGAACACCGAUGGCGAAGGCAGGUCUCUGGGCCAUAACUGACGCUGAGGCGCGAAAGCUAGGGGAGCGAACGGG